rnacentral:rRNA from 1 species
UGGGGAAUCUUGGACAAUGGGGGCAACCCUGAUCCAGCCAUGCCGCGUGAUCGAUGAAGGCCUUAGGGUUGUAAAGAUCUUUCAGCUGGGAAGAUAAUGACGGUACCAGCAGAAGAAGCCCCGGCUAACUCCGUGCCAGCAGCCGCGGUAAUACGGAGGGGGCUAGCGUUGUUCGGAAUUACUGGGCGUAAAGCGCACGUAGGCGGAUCAGUCAGUCAGGGGUGAAAUCCCGGGGCUCAACCCCGGAACUGCCUUUGAUACUGCUGGUCUUGAGGUCGAGAGAGGUGAGUGGAAUUCCGAGUGUAGAGGUGAAAUUCGUAGAUAUAUGGAGGAACACCAGUGGCGAAGGCGACUCUCUGGUCUGUAACUGACGCUGAGGUUCGAAAGCGUGGGUAGCAAACAGG